rnacentral:tRNA from 1 species
GCCAUUGUAGCUCAGUUGGUUAGAGCGUUGGCCAUGGGAGGUGGGUUUGAUUCCCAGCCAAGGCA